rnacentral:rRNA from 1 species
UACGGAGGGUGCAAGCGUUAUCCGGAUUCACUGGGUUUAAAGCGCACGUAGUCGGCUUUGCAAGUCGGGUGUGAAAUCCCCGGGCUCAACCUGGGAACUGCAUCCGAGACUGCAUUGCUAGAGUAUGGGAGAGGGAAGCGGAAUUUCUGGUGUAGCAGUGAAAUGCGUAGAUAUCAGAAGGAACAUCAGUGGCGAAGGCGGCUUCCUGGACCAAUACUGACGAUCAGGUGCGAAAGCGUGGGGAGCAAACAGG